rnacentral:rRNA from 2 species
GCCAGUGAUAAACUGGAGGAAGGUGGGGAUGACGUCAAGUCAUCAUGGCCCUUACGACCAGGGCUACACACGUGCUACAAUGGCGCAUACAAAGAGAAGCGACCUCGCGAGAGCAAGCGGACCUCAUAAAGUGCGUCGUAGUCCGGAUUGGAGUCUGCAACUCGACUCCAUGAAGUCGGAAUCGCUAGUAAUCGUGGAUCAGAAUGCCACGGUGAAUACGUUCCCGGGCCUUGUACACACCGCCCGUCACACCAUGGGAGUGGGUUGCAAAAGAAGUAGGUAGCUUAACCUUCGGGAGGGCGCUUACCACUUUGUGAUUCAUGACUGGGGUGAAGUCGUAACAAGGUAACCGUAGGGGAACCUGCGGUUGGAUCACCUCCUUACCUUAAAGAAGC